rnacentral:rRNA from 1 species
AGAGUUUGAUCCUGGCUCAGGAUGAACGCUAGCGGCAGGCUUAAUACAUGCAAGUCGAGGGGCAGCACGGGGAGCAAUACCUGGUGGCGACCGGCGCACGGGGGCGUAACGCGUAUGUAAUCUACCAUUAACCGGGGAAUAGCCCAGAGAAAUCUGGAUUAAUGCCCCAUAGUAUUAUCGAAAGGCAUCUUUUGAUAAUUAAAGCUCAGGCGGUUUUUGAUGAACAUGCGUGUCAUUAGUUUGUUGGUGAGGUAACGGCUCACCAAGACUACGAUGACUAGGGGGUCUGAGAGGAUGAUCCCCCACACUGGUACUGAGACACGGACCAGACUCUUACGGGAGGCAGCAGUGAGGAAUAUUGGGCAAUGGAGGCAACUCUGAACCAGCCAUGCCGCGUGCAGGAUGAAGGCGCUACGCGUUGUAAACUUCUUUUGUACGGGAAGAAACCUCUCUACGUGUAGGCCGCAGACGGUAAGGUAUGAAUAAGCAUCGGCUAACUCCGUGCCAGCAGCCGCGGUAAUACGGAGGAUGCGAGCGUUAUCCGGAAUCAUUGGGUUUAAAGGGCGCGUGGGCGGAUUAAUAAGUCAGUGGUGAAAGCCUUCAGCUUAACUGAAGAACUGUCUUUGAUACUGUUGUUCUUGAGUACAGUUGAAGUGGGUGGAAUGUGUGGGGUAGCGGUGAAAUGAAUAGAUAUGACACAGAACGCCGAUUGCGAAGGCAACUCACAAAGCCAUUACUGACGCUGAGGCACGAAAGCGUGGGGAUCGAACAGGAUUAGAUACCCUGGUAGUCCACGCCGUAAACGAUGAUCACUCGCUGUUUGCGAUAUACAGCAAGCGGCUGAGCGAAAGCAUUAAGUGAUCCACCUGGGGAGUACGAUCGCAAGGUUGAAACUCAAAGGAAUUGACGGGGGCCCGCACAAGCGGAGGAACAUGUGGUUUAAUUCGAUGAUACGCGAGGAACCUUACCUGGGCUUAAAUGUAGGCUGCAUUCGGCUGAAAGGCUGAUUCCCUUCGGGGCUGCUUACAAGGUGCUGCAUGGUUGUCGUCAGCUCGUGCCGUGAGGUGUCGGGUUAAGUCCCAUAACGAGCGCAACCCCUGUCGUUAGUUGCCAUCAAAUUAUGUUGGGAACUCUAAACAAACUGCCGGGGACAAAUCGGAGGAAGGUGGGGAUGACGUCAAAUCAUCAUGCCCCUUAUGUCCUGGGCUACACACGUGCUACAAUGGCCGGUACAGAGGGCAGCGAAGCCGCGAGGGGAGCCCAUUCGAGAAAGCCGGUCUCAGUUCGGAUUGCAGGCUGCAACUCGCCUGCAUGAAGUCGGAAUCGCUAGUAAUCGCAGGUCAGCAUACUGCGGUGAAUACGUUCCCGGGCCUUGUACACACCGCCCGUCACACCACGAAAGUCGGCAACACCCGAAGCCGGUGACUCAACCCGAAAGGGAGCUAGCCGUCGAAGGUGGGGCCGAUAAUUGGGGUGAAGUCGUAACAAGGUAACC